UUAGAGUUUGAUCAUGGCUCAGAUUGAACGCUGGCGGCAGGCUUAACACAUGCAAGUCGAGCGGAGAGAGGUAGCUUGCUACUGAUCUUAGCGGCGGACGGGUGAGUAAUGCUUAGGAAUCUGCCUAUUAGUGGGGGACAACGUUUCGAAAGGGACGCUAAUACCGCAUACGCCCUACGGGGGAAAGCAGGGGAUCUUCGGACCUUGCGCUAAUAGAUGAGCCUAAGCCGGAUUAGCUAGUUGGUGGGGUAAAGGCCUACCAAGGCGACGAUCUGUAGCGGGUCUGAGAGGAUGAUCCGCCACACUGGGACUGAGACACGGCCCAGACUCCUACGGGAGGCAGCAGUGGGGAAUAUUGGACAAUGGGGGGAACCCUGAUCCAGCCAUGCCGCGUGUGUGAAGAAGGCCUUUUGGUUGUAAAGCACUUUAAGCGAGGAGGAGGCUCUUCUGGUUAAUACCUAGAAUGAGUGGACGUUACUCGCAGAAUAAGCACCGGCUAACUCUGUGCCAGCAGCCGCGGUAAUACAGAGGGUGCGAGCGUUAAACGGAUUUACUGGGCGUAAAGCGUACGUAGGCGGCUUUUUAAGUCGGAUGUGAAAUCCCUGAGCUUAACUUAGGAAUUGCAUUCGAUACUGGGAAGCUAGAGUAUGGGAGAGGAUGGUAGAAUUCCAGGUGUAGCGGUGAAAUGCGUAGAGAUCUGGAGGAAUACCGAUGGCGAAGGCAGCCAUCUGGCCUAAUACUGACGCUGAGGUACGAAAGCAUGGGGAGCAAACAGGAUUAGAUACCCUGGUAGUCCAUGCCGUAAACGAUGUCUACUAGCCGUUGGGGCCUUUGAGGCUUUAGUGGCGCAGCUAACGCGAUAAGUAGACCGCCUGGGGAGUACGGUCGCAAGACUAAAACUCAAAUGAAUUGACGGGGGCCCGCACAAGCGGUGGAGCAUGUGGUUUAAUUCGAUGCAACGCGAAGAACCUUACCUGGCCUUGACAUACAGAGAACUUUCCAGAGAUGGAUUGGUGCCUUCGGGAACUCUGAUACAGGUGCUGCAUGGCUGUCGUCAGCUCGUGUCGUGAGAUGUUGGGUUAAGUCCCGCAACGAGCGCAACCCUUUUCAUUAUUUGCCAGCACUUCGGGUGGGAACUUUAAGGAUACUGCCAGUGACAAACUGGAGGAAGGCGGGGACGACGUCAAGUCAUCAUGGCCCUUACGGCCAGGGCUACACACGUGCUACAAUGGUCGGUACAAAGGGUUGCUACCUAGCGAUAGGAUGCUAAUCUCAAAAAGCCGAUCGUAGUCCGGAUUGGAGUCUGCAACUCGACUCCAUGAAGUCGGAAUCGUUAGUAAUCGCGGAUCAGAAUGCCGCGGUGAAUACGUUCCCGGGCCUUGUACACACCGCCCGUCACACCAUGGGAGUUUGUUGCACCAGAAGUAGGUAGUCUAACCGCAAGGAGGACGCUUACCACGGUGUGGCCGACGACUGGGGUGAAGUCGUAACAAGGUAACCGUAAU
rnacentral:rRNA from 1 species